GACGUAGGGCGCGAGCGUUGUCCGGAUUUAUUGGGCGUAAAGAGCUCGUAGGCGGCUUGUCGCGUCGAAUGUGAAAACCCGAGGCUCAACUUCGGGCUUGCAUUCGAUACGGGCAGGCUAGAGUUCGGUAGGGGAGACUGGAAUUCCUGGUGUAGCGGUGAAAUGCGCAGAUAUCAGGAGGAACACCGAUGGCGAAGGCAGGUCUCUGGGGCCACUACUGACGCUGAGGAGCGAAAGCUAGGGGAGCAAACGGG
rnacentral:rRNA from 1 species